rnacentral:piRNA from 1 species
UCCACCUUCAGGGAGUAGACUUGACCC